rnacentral:tRNA from 1 species
GCGGGCGUAGCCAAGUGGUAAGGCAGUGGAUUGUGAUUCCACCAUUCGCGGGUUCGAACCCCGUCGUUCGCC